UCUUCCUCAGUUGCCCUCUACCUUAUUUUUUGAGGCAGGGUCUGUGACUUCGGAGCUCACUUGGUUUUGACUAAACUGGCUAGCCAACAAACUUCAGGGAGUUUCCCAUCACCCUUCCCCAGUACUGUGGAUUCCGACUCAUGCCACCACAUUUGGAUUUUUACAUGGAUGCUGACGAUUGAAACUCAGUUCUCCUGUCUGCACAGUAAUUUCUUUAGGAGGGCUGGUCUAUUUGACAUUCAGGUGUUUGGCAGCCACAUAUGUCGGACAGAGCCAAUGAGGAGUAAGGGGCGAAGGCAAAAGACAAUUUGGUACCUGGACCAGGUCAGAAAGAUCCCAGGGGACAACAGAACACUUCUAAAGGACCCUACAGCUCUGGGCUUGCCGAUCAGUUGUAAACUCUCCAGAGCCAAACCUGCCUGCCUGCCUGCCUGCCUGCCUGCCUGCCUGCCUGCCUGCCUGCUGCCUGCCUGCUGCCUGCCUGCCUGCCUGCCUGCCUGCCUGCCUGCCUGCCUGCUGCCUGCCUGCCUGCCUGCUGCCUGCCUGCCUGCUGCCUGCCUGCCUGCCUGCUGCCUGCCUGCCUGCCUGCCUGCCUGCCUGCCUGCCUGCCUGCCUGCUGUUCUGCUUCCUGCAUGCUUGGCAUGGACUCACCUCUGAAACUAUAAUUUUGCAGCCCGUCACAGAAUUGAAAGUGCUUCAUGCCAUCAGGUCACCUCUUUAAAGCUUUUUCUUCUGCUUGGAAGUUUUCUGUACCAUGCAUAUGGUGAGGUUCUGCCUCCCAAAGUCUUCAGAACAUCCCCACAUGGUGCCACAGCUGAAGAUUAAACACUCAGAGCAGGAGCCUGUAGGCGAUGCUUCCUACGCAAACCACAGCGGCAGCAGGUGUGGACUGGCAUCCUGGUUUCAUAGCACAUAGUCAGAAUAUCUCUUUGUUUUCAUGAAGGUUGCAUGAUCAUGGAAACUGGGAAUUGGUCAAGCAAUUAAAAAAUGGUCAUGCCCUGGC